GAUGAACGCUGGCGGCGUGCCUAAUACAUGCAAGUCGAGCGAACGGACGAGAAGCUUGCUUCUCUGAUGUUAGCGGCGGACGGGUGAGUAACACGUGGAUAACCUACCUAUAAGACUGGGAUAACUUCGGGAAACCGGAGCUAAUACCGGAUAAUAUUUUGAACCGCAUGGUUCAAAAGUGAAGGACGGUCUUGCUGUCACUUAUAGAUGGAUCCGCGCUGCAUUAGCUAGUUGGUAAGGUAACGGCUUACCAAGGCAACGAUGCAUAGCCGACCUGAGAGGGUGAUCGGCCACACUGGAACUGAGACACGGUCCUGACUCCUACGGGAGGCAGCAGUAGGGAAUCUUCCGCAAUGGGCGAAAGCCUGACGGAGCAACGCCGCGUGAGUGAUGAAGGUCUUCGGAUCGUAAAACUCUGUUAUUAGGGAAGAACAUAUGUGUAAGUAACUGUGCACAUCUUGACGGUACCUAAUCAGAAAGCCACGGCUAACUACGUG
rnacentral:rRNA from 1 species